CCUUUAAAUUAACAAAUGCUGUACUUAAAUUGGAACAAUGCAGAGAAGAUUAGCAUGGUUCCUGUGUAAAGAUGACAUGUGAAUUUGUGAAGUGUUCCGAUUUUUU
ensembl:snRNA U6 U6 spliceosomal RNA